rnacentral:rRNA from 1 species
AUUGAACGCUGGCGGCAUGCUUUACACAUGCAAGUCGAACGGCAGCGGGUCCUUCGGGAUGCCGGCGAGUGGCGAACGGGUGAGUAAUGCAUCGGAACGUACCGUGUAAUGGGGGAUAACGUAGCGAAAGUUACGCUAAUACCGCAUACGCCCUGAGGGGGAAAGCGGGGGAUCGCAAGACCUCGCGUUAUACGAGCGGCCGAUGUCGGAUUAGCUAGUUGGUGGGGUAAAGGCCCACCAAGGCGACGAUCCGUAGCGGGUCUGAGAGGAUGAUCCGCCACACUGGGACUGAGACACGGCCCAGACUCCUACGGGAGGCAGCAGUGGGGAAUUUUGGACAAUGGGGGCAACCCUGAUCCAGCCAUGCCGCGUGCGGGAAGAAGGCCUCGGUU